UCCCAACAUUAACGGUCUGGCCGUUCACCUUCUCACGAGUAAUCCUCUCGAUAUGAAUAACCCAUUUGCGACGGUACACCUGCACAACCUUACCUUCACGUCCCUUGUAGUUCCCACGAACACAC